GACGAACACUGGCGGCGUGCCUAAUACAUGCAAGUUGAGCGAUGAAGAUUGGUGCUUGCCCCAAUUUGAAGAGCAGCGAACGGGUGAGUAACGCGUGGGGAAUCUGCCUUUGAGCGGGGGACAACAUUUGGAAACGAAUGCUAAUACCGCAUAAUAACUUUAAACAUAAGUUUUAAGUUUGAAAGAUGCAAUUGCAUCACUCAAAGAUGAUCCCGCGUUGUAUUAGCUAGUUGGUGAGGUAAAGGCUCACCAAGGCGAUGAUACAUAGCCGACCUGAGAGGGUGAUCGGCCACAUUGGGACUGAGACACGGCCCAAACUCCUACGGGAGGCAGCAGUAGGGAAUCUUCGGCAAUGGACGAAAGUCUGACCGAGCAACGCCGCGUGAGUGAAGAAGGUUUUCGGAUCGUAAAACUCUGUUGGUAGAGAAGAACGUUGGUGAGAGUGGAAAGCUCACCAAGUGACGGUAACUACCCAGAAAGGGACGGCUAACUACGUG
rnacentral:rRNA from 1 species